rnacentral:miRNA from 1 species
UACCCGUACUUCCAACUUCC